UUUGGUGAAUGGGUGAGCGGCAGUGAAGAAUCAAGCACAAACUCAAGUGAUGAGUCAAUCAAGAGAUUCACCAUCCGCACCAAUAAGGGCGCUUCAUCAUCAUCCAACAUGUGCCUCAUAGUCAAAGUGCUUCUUGCUCAACUUCUUUCAAGUGGUACAACCAAGAUAACUAGGAUCCCCGGAGGUAUGCAAGGCUCAAAACUCCUUCAAUUGGUAUCAUCGUCAAUUCUUUGAUCUUUUAGAGCUACCUCCGCGUGUGAUAUGAUGUAAGCUUUCUAACUCUAAAUAUCUAGUUGUGCACUUGAUUUUCACAUUAGUAUUUUGUGGACACAUUUGUAGAAAGCUUAGCUCAUAUCGUGCAAGUUUCAUGUCUUGUGAUCCAUCCUAGUAAACAUGAAUUUAGUAUCUUCAUUGAUAUUAUCUUAUAGGGAUCAUGAUUUAUGAAGCUAGCUCCAUAGGCUACUAACUUUUCCUUUGAGCUAUAUUAUUUUGCGAGGCUUUUUUAGGUGUCCAAAGGGGGAGAGGUUUGGAAUCAAAGCAAACAUGGAUAAAGAUUAGGGAGAAGUAGUUGUCAAGCAAGGAUUGGGGGUACAAGAAAUCCAAUACAAAACACCCAAUUUGGGAGAAGUCAAGGGGGAAUCAUGGAAUUAGGGGAGGCCAAGUACAAGAUUGGAUGAUGGUAAGCAUCCAAGCAAGUGUAAGUAGGUCAAUUUGUCAAUUCUUGUAAAUUUAUGCUUGCUUUGAUUGUGUUGUCAUCAAUCACCAAAAAGAGAGAGUUUGUAAGGAAUAUGGCCCCAUUAGGCCAUAAGUUGUGUACCCGCAAAAAUGGCCAUAAGUUGUGAUUUUGGUGAUUGUGUGACAACAUAAUCAUUGGAACUAACAAGUGUGUCAAGGAUAAACUACAAAGCCCUAACAAAACAAGAAACAAAGAAAGAACUCAAAGAAGUGCCGAACUAGAAGAGUUCUGUAGGAAAAAUGCGACCGAUUAUACCGAUGCCAUGGGAAAUGAACAGGUCGGUGCAAUGGAAUAUUGCUACGGUGACCAAGUGCAGAAGAAGAUAGUUGCGCUGGAUCAACCGACGCUAUAGGAAGAUGGGUGUCAGUGCAUUCCUGGACUGGGAUGGCGAUCAAGUGGAGAAAUGCAAGUGCAACCCGUUAAACCGACUCUAUGCUCAGAGGCGUCGGUGCAUGUGUCGUUUAAUGUGCCAGAGAGCAUUUCAGCUGCUGAAGAGUUCGAGGGACAAAGUCUUCAACACCGGUUGAGCCAACGGUGCGUCGGUGCAAGGCGUAGUGCAAUUAUGUUAGCAGAGGGUGGACAUUGGAGGCAACGGCUAGUAUGCAGGUUCAAUGGAACCGGUUAAACUGAUGGUGGCGACCGGUUUAACCGACGCUUUAAGCUUUUUGCAGAAAGGCAGGCAACGGCUAUGGGUUGCCCUGUUACCUAUUUAAGAUCCUCACCCCGUGUCAUUUGAGGCUGCUGGAGUUCGUGAGAACCUACAACAGAAACUCUGCUAAAGUUCUCCAAGCCAUCCAAGAGCUCAUUGAUCACAUUCAUAGGUUUAGCACAAGCUUUGUGAGUGAGAGUGCUAGGCUAUCUCUAGAGAGAGUGAGUGUGUAAGGUGUAGUUGCCUUGUGACUGGUUCUUAAGUGAACCAAAGCUUGUAUCUCGGUGUGUCAGCCUCUUGGAGUCUUAGUGGCUCGUCAGCAAGUCUUUGACCCUCCUGCUUGAUGUGGAGCGGCGACGACGACUUUAUGCGGAAGACGUAGAGACCUCCUUCCUUCUUAGAGAAGCUCCUUAGUGGAGACAGUAUUAAGGUGACCGGGGACUUGGUGCAAGCCUUGGUGGCUAAGCCUUUGUGAUAAGUCAAGAAGAGUCCCGGAUGAGACUUGGUGAUCGGAAGGCAAUAUUCUUAGUGAGUGCUUCAAUAACGUGGACUAGGAGUGGGCGGGUGGCUUUGUUCCUACCGAUACCAUGGGAUAAAUCACGCGUCAAGAGUUUGCUUCUCCUCAUUCUUUCUUUAAGUUUCCACAUUUAAUACUUGCAACUUGCGUACCUUUACAUUCUUCGUACAGUAUCUUACUAGGAUUGACUAUAUGUUGCAAAAUUCAUUAGGAUAGGGUUUUCACUCUAGUUGAACCAUAGUUGCACAUCUAAAUAGCAUGAUCUAUUUUAUGUUUUAUGCAAACUAGUUUGAGCUAUAUGUUAAAAUUUUAAGUUUGUCUAGUUUACUUCCUCCUCCUCUUAGGCUACGAGCACCGAUUACUUUCAAAAGGAAAACGAAAGCAAAUUUGUCCUUUGCUGUAGGCCACUCUAACCUACAACAAAUUUCAAGUUUUAUUUGUGUCCCCCAUCAAAAUUUCCGACAAAUUCAAAGCAGGUACAAAGAAACAAGAACGGAAUCCAUGACCAAGUAGUUUUGGCGUAUGCGAGAAGCAACCUCCGAAGUGUAUGCUUGUGCAUUGCUUUUACCUUGAUCGAAUCAAUUAUAUUCCAGACAAUUACUAGUGGAGGUUUUGCUUUGGUGCGCAUACAUACAUAGCUAUCUCAAUAGUUCAUGAGGCACAUCGUGAAACAGUUCGCCCGGACUAUUGAUGCAUGCAUUCCUCUGUGCGUAGCUACCGACAAGGGAUCUCGCAUAAACAAGUUGAAUUGAAUUUCUCUGUCUUUGUAGUGAUCAUCAAUGAAUAAAUGGAGCAGAAACCUAACUAUUUCUGCAUAUGACUUUGCUACUCCAAUCACUCCACCUUGCUUAUGUCUUUGAUAUUAAAAUAUAUCCGUGUGUAGGAUGGAAUCUGAUAUUCAAAUCAGAUGGUAAGGCAACACAUGUGGAGCUCUGCUGCCCCCCUGUUAUUUUCGAACAGAUGCUUCAAACAAUUUAUGAUGGUGGCCCUUAACAGCAUCAUGGAUGCGAUAUGUUGUGGCUUUUUGGAUGCUCAGUUAUCAUCUAAUGCGAACAGGCUCCAUUAUUGAUGGGGUCGACCUCCUCAUGUAGUCAUCUCUACUUCAUCAGUCAGCACUGAGAAAUGCAACAAAAAAAAUAAAAAAAUAACAAGAUAUACCACAACACCAGUGUUCCUAUA